UACGUGAGGCGCAAGCGUUGUCCGGAAUUAUUGGGCGUAAAGAGCUCGUAGGUGGCUUGUCGCGUCGGAAGUGAAAACACGGGGCUUAACUCUGUGCUUGCUUUCGAUACGGGCAGACUAGAGGGAUGCAGGGGAGAACGGAAUUCCUGGUGUAGCGGUGAAAUGCGCAGAUAUCAGGAGGAACACCGGUGGCGAAGGCGGUUCUCUGGGCAUUCCCUGACGCUGAGGAGCGAAAGUGUGGGGAACGAACAGG
rnacentral:rRNA from 1 species